AGCGAACGCUGGCGGCAGGCUUAACACAUGCAAGUCGAGCGGGCGUAGCAAUACGUCAGCGGCAGACGGGUGAGUAACGCGUGGGAACGUACCUUUUGGUUCGGAACAACACAGGGAAACUUGUGCUAAUACCGGAUAAGCCCUUACGGGGAAAGAUUUAUCGCCGAAAGAUCGGCCCGCGUCUGAUUAGCUAGUUGGUGAGGUAACGGCUCACCAAGGCGACGAUCAGUAGCUGGUCUGAGAGGAUGAUCAGCCACAUUGGGACUGAGACACGGCCCAAACUCCUACGGGAGGCAGCAGUGGGGAAUAUUGGACAAUGGGCGCAAGCCUGAUCCAGCCAUGCCGCGUGAGUGAUGAAGGCCCUAGGGUUGUAAAGCUCUUUUGUGCGGGAAGAUAAUGACGGUACCGCAAGAAUAAGCCCCGGCUAACUUCGUGCCAGCCGCCGCGGUAACAC
rnacentral:rRNA from 1 species